rnacentral:rRNA from 1 species
GAUGAACGCUGGCGGCGUGCCUAACACAUGCAAGUCGAGCGAUUUACUUCGGUAAAGAGCGGCGGACGGGUGCGUAACGCGUGGGUAACCUGCCCUGUACACACGGAUAACAUACCGAAAGGUAUGCUAAUACGAGAUAAUAUGCUCUUAUCGCAUGGUAGAAGUAUCAAAGCUUUUGCGGUACAGGAUGGACCCGCGUCUGAUUAGCUAGUUGGUGAGGUAACGGCUCACCAAGGCGACGAUCAGUAGCCGACCUGAGAGGGUGAUCGGCCACAUUGGAACUGAGACACGGUCCAAACUCCUACGGGAGGCAGCAGUGGGGAAUAUUGCACAAUGGGCGAAAGCCUGAUGCAGCAACGCCGCGUGAGCGAUGAAGGCCUUCGGGUCGUAAAGCUCUGUCCUCAAGGAAGAUAAUGACGGUACUUGAGGAGGAAGCCCCGGCUAACUACGUG